GACGAACGCUGGCGGCGUGCUUAACACAUGCAAGUCGAGCGGUAAGGCCCUUUCGGGGGUACACGAGCGGCGAACGGGUGAGUAACACGUGGGUGACCUGCCCUCAGCUCGUGGGUAAGCCUGGGAAACCGGGUCUAAUACCGGAUAUGACUCCAUGACGCAUGUUGUGGGGUGGAAAGCCUUGUGCGGCUGAGGAUGGGCCCGCGGCCUAUCAGCUUGUUGGUGGGGUGAUGGCCACCAAGGCGACGACGGGUAGCCGGCCUGAGAGGGCGACCGGCCACACUGGGACUGAGACACGGCCCAGACUCCUACGGGAGGCAGCAGUGGGGAAUCUUGCGCAAUGGGCGAAAGCCUGACGCAGCGACGCCGCGUGAGGGAUGACGGCCUCGGUUGUAA
rnacentral:rRNA from 1 species